GGCUAAUUAAAAUAAAAAAAAAUUGAGUGCAAAAUAAAAUUAUGGUGAAUAGAGACAAAGCAAAGUAGGACAUGGCGACGGGCACCACUACCCUAAUCUGCUUUCAUCUCGCUAUCUUUUCUUUUCGUUGCAGAAAGGGCCUAGCCGCCCAGUACUGCUUGUCGUUAUUAUGGGCCUGGGUUCACUCAAUCAUUUUUUUUUUUUUUUUUUU
rnacentral:misc_RNA from 1 species